rnacentral:rRNA from 1 species
CCUACGGGACGCACCAGUGGGGAAUAUUGGACAAUGGGCGAAAGCCUGAUCCAGCAAUGCCGCGUGAGUGAUGAAGGCCUUAGGGUUGUAAAGCUCUUUUACCCGGGAAGAUAAUGACUGUACCGGGAGAAUAAGCCCCGGCUAACUCCGUGCCAGCAGCCGCGGUAAUACGGAGGGGGCUAGCGUUGUUCGGAAUUACUGGGCGUAAAGCGCACGUAGGCGGCUUUGUAAGUUAGAGGUGAAAGCCCGGGGCUCAACCCCGGAAUCGCCUUCAAGACUGCAUCGCUUGAACGUCGGAGAGGUGAGUGGAAUUCCGAGUGUAGAGGUGAAAUUCGUAGAUAUUCGGAAGAACACCAGUGGCGAAGGCGGCUCACUGGACGACUGUUGACGCUGAGGUGCGAAAGCGUGGGGAGCAAACAGGAUUAGAUACCCCAGUAGUC